UACGUAGGGGGCGAGCGUUGUCCGGAAUUAUUGGGCGUAAAGAGCGUGUAGGCUGUUCGGUAAGUCUGCCGUGAAAACCUGAGGCUCAACCUCGGGCGUGCGGUGGAUACUGCCGGGCUAGAGGACGGUAGAGGCGAGUGGAAUUCCCGGUGUAGUGGUGAAAUGCGUAGAUAUCGGGAGGAACACCAGUGGCGAAGGCGACUACCUGGCCUGUUCUUGACGCUGAGGCGCGAAAGCUAGGGGAGCAAACGGG
rnacentral:rRNA from 1 species